UAGUCCACGCCGUAAACGAUGAGAACUAGAUUUUGGGGGUAUUGACUCCUUCAGAAUCGCAGCUAACGCAUUAAGUUCUCCGCCUGGGGAGUACGGUCGCAAGACUAAAACUCAAAGGAAUUGACGGGGGCCCGCACAAGCGGUGGAUUAUGUGGUUUAAUUCGAAGCAACGCGCAGAACCUUACCUAGGCUUGAACUCCUGAGAAUUCCGGGUUAUGCCGGAAGUGCCCUUCGGGGAAUUCAGUGAGAGGUGCUGCAUGGCUGUCGUCAGCUCGUGUUGUGAAAUGUUGGGUUAAGUCUCGCAACGAGCGCAACCCCUAUCUUUAGUUGCCAGCAUUUAGUUGGGCACUCUAGAGAGACUGCCUGGGUUAACCAGGAGGAAGGUGGGGAUGACGUCAAGUCCUCAUGGCCCUUAUGUCUAGGGCUACACACGUAAUACAAUGGUACAAACAAAGGGAAGCGAACCCGCGAGGGGAAGCAAAUCUCAAAACUUGUAUCUCAGUCCGGAUUGAAGUCUGCAACUCGA
rnacentral:rRNA from 1 species